UGAAGAAUUUGGUCAUCUAGAGGAGUACAUACCUUUAUUUGUCACUUCUGACGACAUUCCAGACAUUGAUAAGAAAAAAAUGGUAUGUUGAUUGGAGCAACUACAUCAAUCGGAUUAAUCAUAAAAAUAGUAUUGUUUUCAAAUUGUAAAGAGUGGAUAGGGUGAAUGAAACAGAGAGUGAAAGUUACAACAACAUAUAGAAGCAAAGGUGCAGACCAUUUUUUGCUUUCGUGUCAUGAUUGGGUAAGUCCAUUUAUUAUAUAGUAUAUAGUAUAGUAGUAUUUAAUUUUCAGUAGCUAAAUUCUAUUGAUAGGCCCCCUAUUAAUUGUUUAAUUUUCCACUUAUUAUUAAACACAAUAAUGUUGUUGU